UAGCAUAACAUUGUAAGAGAUUGUAAGAACCUCUUUACAUUGUUGUGCUGUA
rnacentral:pre_miRNA from 1 species